CUAUGCUGCCAAGAAAAUCUUCUAGCGAGGUUCGAGCCGCCCGUACCCCAAACCGACUCAGGUGGUUAGGUAGAGAAUACCAAGGCGAUCGAGUGAAUCGUGGUUAAGGAAUUCGGCAAAAUGCCCCCGUAACUUCGGGAGAAGGGGGGCCCGGAACCUGAAGUGACGAGCUCACUAGGGUGAAGGGCCGCAGAGACCAGGGAGAAGCGACUGUUUACUAAAAACACAGGUCCGUGCGAAGUCGCAAGACGAUGUAUACGGACUGACGCCUGCCCGGUGCUGGAAGGUUAAGAGGACCGGUUAGACCGCAAGGUCGAAGCUGAGAAUUUAAGCCCCAGUAAACGGCGGUGGUAACUAUAACCAUCCUAAGGUAGCGAAAUUCCUUGUCGGGUAAGUUCCGACCUGCACGAAUGGCGUAACGACUUCUCCACUGUCUCAACCGCGAACUCGGCGAAAUUGCACUACGAGUAAAGAUGCUCGUUACGCGCAGCAGGACGGAAAGACCCCGGGACCUUUACUAUAGCUUGGUAUUGGUGUUCGGUACGGCUUGUGUAGGAUAGGUGGGAGACUGUGAAGCAUGCACGCCAGUGUGUGUGGAGUCAACGUUGAAAUACCACUCUGGUCGUUCUGGAUAUCUAACCUCGGUCCGUGAUCCGGAUCAGGGACAGUGCCUGGUGGGUAGUUUAACUGGGGCGGUUGCCUCCUAAAAGGUAACGGAGGCGCUCAAAGGUUCCCUCAGCCUGGUUGGCAAUCAGGUUUCGAGUGUAAGUGCACAAGGGAGCUUGACUGCGAGAGAGACAUCUCGAGCAGGGACGAAAGUCGGAACUAGUGACCCGGCGGUGGCUUGUGGAAGCGCCGUCGCUCAACGGAUAAAAGGUACCCCGGGGAUAACAGGCUGAUCUUGCCCAAGAGUCCAUAUCGACGGCGUGGUUUGGCACCUCGAUGUCGGCUCGUCGCAUCCUGGGGGUGGAGUUGCUCCCAAGGGUUGGGCUGUUCGCCCAUUAAAGCGGUACGCGAGCUGGGUUUAGAACGUCGUGAGACAGUUCGGUCCCUAUCCGCUGUGCGCGUAGGAAACUUGAGAAGGGCUGACCCUAGUACGAGAGGACCGGGUUGGACGAACCUCUGGUGUGUCAGUUGUCCUGCCAAGGGCACCGCUGAUUAGCUACGUUCGGAAGUGAUAACCGCUGAAAGCAUCUAAGCGGGAAGCACGCUUCAAGAUGAGGUUUCCAUGCACCAUCAGGUGUGAGAGGCUCCCGGCUAGACUACCGGGUUGAUAGGCCAGACGUGGAAGUGCAGCAAUGCAUGUAGCUGACUGGUACUAAUAAGCCGACAAC
rnacentral:rRNA from 1 species